rnacentral:rRNA from 1 species
CGCAAUGGGCGAAAGCCUGACGGAGCGACGCCGCGUGCAGGAAGAAGUACUUCGGUAUGUAAACUGCUUUUGUAGACUAGUAAUUUUUGAACAGUCUAAGAAUAAGAGGUUGCUAAACUCGUGCCAGCAGCAGCGGUAAUACGAGUGCCUCAAGCGUUAUCCGGAAUUAUUGGGCGUAAAGGGUGUGUAGGUGGUUUUGUUAGUCUUCUGUUAAAUCUCUCGGCUUAAUCGAGAGCUUAUAGAGGAAACGGCAAGACUUAGAGUAUGCGAGGGGUCUGUGGAACUCAUAGUGUAGCGGUGAAAUGCGUUGAUAUUAUGGGGAACACCAAAAGCGAAGGCAGCAGACUGGAGCAUUACUGACACUGAAACACGAAAGCGU